CGGACGGGUGAGUAAUGUCUGGGAAACUGCCUGAUGGAGGGGGAUAACUACUGGAAACGGUAGCUAAUACCGCAUAACGUCGCAAGACCAAAGAGGGGGACCUUAGGGCCUCUUGCCAUCGGAUGUGCCCAGAUGGGAUUAGCUAGUAGGUGGGGUAACGGCUCACCUAGGCGACGAUCCCUAGCUGGUCUGAGAGGACGACCAGCCACACUGGAACUGAGACACGGUCCAG
rnacentral:rRNA from 1 species